UCCUAUGUUUGAUGCCUAACGUGACGGAAAUUGGCCCCGAAUGAGUCCUAAGUUUUGCCUCACCAAAUUCGUGGUGUUAGGUUGACGUGGAAGUACUGCCCAUUGUCCGUCCUUUUAUGUUGUAAUCGUGUCCCAUGGGUUGCUACUAGUUCCCUCGGAUGCAGAACCUUUGAGGGGUGCACAGUAUGUUGCUGUUGUUUACCCCCCCAAGGCAUUCAUCGAUCGAUGCGUACGACAGUUGUGCCCCGUUUUGGUCCCCUUUACAAAUUGUUUGGAUGGGUCUCAUGCGGUGCCGGCGUCGCGAAGGAAUGCUACCUGGUUGAUCCUGCCAGUAGUCAUAUGCUUGUCUC
rnacentral:misc_RNA from 1 species